UUCGACUUGAGCGCCAGCGAGAGAGCGUUGCCGCAGGCAACGACCCGAAGGGCGAAGCGCGCAGCGCUGAGUAAUCCUUCCCCCACCACCA
rnacentral:sRNA from 2 species